UGUACUGAACACCCUUUCCACGCUUAGCUGCCUUGUCUGCUAUCUGGUUUUUGCCUCCGUGUUCUCAAGCCGCUCUGCAGGUCAGAAUGCCCGGCGGAACUCUUUUUUAUCAGGAAGGACUGACGUGGGGGCAACCCUGGCUGCACAUGCACGGGUAGAAGAUGCUCGUCCUGUGAAGCAGCCCCAGGGAACUGAGAGCUUCCUGCACCUCCGCAUCCCCCAGCCCAGGCCAGCUGAGACAGCAGAAGCUCUCGGAGCCAAAUAGAGACCUACUUACCUGCCGGCUCGGGGCAGCCCUGAUGCAGCUACUCUGGGAUGAUCCUGCAGUGGUUCUUGCCCCGCUUCCCACCAGCCGCCCCACUUCUGUCAUCUACCCUCUCCGUUCCCUUCAUCCCAUGCUUGGCUGGCAUCUUGAAUAACCUAAAUCAUAGGUCCUGCCUAAUUAAACCUUCUCUUGCUCUCGCUGCCUGCCAAGUUCACCACCCCUCCCCAAUGUGUCAACGGAGAUGUCCCCCGACAUGUCCAGAUUUUUCUCUCCGUCCUUCAGUCACUGGGUUACUCACCGCUUUCCCUUGAGUAGACCGUCAUUCCUUCACCUCUGAACCUUUGGCCAAGCUCUCUUCUCCUUCUAGAAAGCCCUCCUACACCCCCUUCUCUGGCGUUGUCACUCAUCUGGGGAAAACACUGAUUUAAUCUAGAAAGGACCUGCCUGAGAACAAAGCUAGUGUGGAGCAGACUGAUCUGGGAGAUGCUGAGAGCCGAGAUGCCACCAGAUUGGUCACCCCCAUUUCAGCUCUUCCACUGUCCCUGAAAUUAGGCACAUGGGUAUGGUUUUCACUGUCAGUGAACGGGGAGUGGAAGUGAUUCAUGUCCCUUCCGGAUGGGGACUUUAACAGCCAGCCUGUAAUUCACCUCCUGUCCUGGUCAUUCUUUGCCCAGCCACACUGACUACUCCAGAUGGUAGAAGCUCCAUCCCCUGGGCCCUGGAAGGAGGAAACUCAGAGCAGAGUCCCCAGCUGACCAAAGUGGACGUGUGACAAGGAGAAGAAAUAAACCCUGUUGCCACGUGCCACUAGCAUUCUGAGGGUGUUUGUCACUGCAGCCCAACACAGCCCAUCCUGACUGGGUCACCAUCCUCCAAGGCUAUGGCAAAUGUCAGCUUCUCCAGUAAACCUCUCUUGUUCUUCUCCAACUAGAUUCACUUUUUUAAAAAAUUCAGGACAUGGAAGCAACCUAAGUGUCCAUCAUCGGAUGAAUGGAUAAAGAAGAUGUGGCACAUAUGUACAAUGGAAUAUUACUCAGCCAUAAAAAGAAACGAAAUUGAGUUAUUUGUAGUGAGGUGGAUGGACCUAGAGUCUGUCAUACAGAGUGAAGUAAGUCAGAAAGAGAAAAACAAAUACCGUAUGCUAACACAUAUAUAUGGAAUCUAAGAAAAAAAAAAAAAAAGGUCAUGAAGAACCUAGGGGUAAGACGGGAAUAAAGACACAGACCUACUAGAGAAUGGACUUGAGGAUAU